UCAAAAUGCUCAAAAAUCCUUACUUGGACACAGGUGUGCACAGCUGAAAACUGUGAGUUCUAGAAGUAAUUUUCGUAUUCCUUUGUUAUAAAGCUCUUUUGCUGGUACAUAUUCCUUGGAUAGUUUUUUUCAUAGUAAAAUAGAACAUAAUUACUAUUUAGUGAGAACAUUUUGCUAGAAAUUCAUAUCAAUCUGCUUCAAUUUCACAAUGACAAUGUUUUACUUUCAUUUUGGAUAGUUCACAUGUAUUUCUAACAUGCGAUUUGAUUGGUUUAAAUUCCACUGCAGUAAUAAAUCCAGCCAUUCACGUUCCACGUAACAUUACCAGACAAAUUGCAUACAAAUCCUUGAAGAUAGUAGAAAUGUAAACAAAUUUAAUAUUUACGGUGUUUUACAUAUAUGCAGUUACAUGCAAUUAUGGAAGGUGUCUACUUUGAUGAAUAAAGUGUCUAUGGAUAAUUAAACAAGGACGCCUUCUCUGACCUGGUUUUAAGCUCGGCUGUUUUCGGAGGAAACCCGAGGUAUUGUCAUCACUGGGGGCUGACGAGGUAUAAGCGUAGUCCGUUUCGCUACGACGUCAGGACAUAUCACAUGCAGUUACUGCAGACUGCCAUUUCCCAGUGCAAAAGAUGCAUUGCUUCAUUGUGCGCAUGCACAUCCAAACGGAAAGGUGUCCUUUAUGUGGGAGAUGCCUUGUGACACUGCACCAGGUGUACAAUACAGAAAUCGCACGUUUAAUAUUAUGGGUGGCGACAUAAACAAGUAUGCUGAAAAUAUUACAUUCAAUCCAGUUUCUGGCAAAUUGAUAAAUCCGAAAAAAUCUACAGUCACAGAAAGUCCUGUGCGAAAGAUAUCACGAAUCAACACAGCAGCACAAU